rnacentral:lncRNA from 1 species
GGUACAUGUAUUUAGCCUUAAGGUAAGUAAUGACAACUUUAUGACUGGUGAUUACGAUAGACAAAUUGAUUUGAUCGACGAAUUUAUUUUUCAAAAUGUUCAAGGUGCACCAUUUUUUGGUACAUGGUGCACCAUUUUUGCAAACCCAGGGGGUGGUCACCGGCACCGGGUGACCACCCCCUGGAUCCGCCUCUGUCAAGGA